GCCCGCCAUGGCUGUUUGCCCCCCAUGGCUGCCUGUGUCCCCAGAGGACUGUGUGUGUGCCCUGCUGACAUCCAGCACCCUCCUGCACACUCUCCGCUUGGCCCCACAAGCACAACUCCGUGUUUUUAGUUUGCUGGCAGUUUUAAGUUUCCAGUUUCAUCACCCCCUAAUCACGGUGUAUUCCAUCCAGCAGAAUGGAUGGCAUUGUGUAAAGAUUGUUUCAGUGAUAAAGUACCCCCGGUGUUUUACUCUUAAGAAGGGGGAUAUAAAUAGAACUACACAUUACACUGGUCCAAAACAGAAACCAGACCUGCUCCCAAGCCCUGGAUCACAUCUUCUAACCACUUUUGUGAUUACAGUACAGACGUUUGUGUAGAGAACGAGCUAUUAACACCGAAAUUGGCGUUGCAGGGAAAUCUUUUGCACUCCUCUCUCCCACCCUCUCAUGACAGUGCCAGGAGGGUGGUGGGGCUGGUGGGCAGAGGCUGGGAGUGCCCCCAGCACUGCUGAAGGUGCUGCAGGGCAGCUGAGCUACGGCCCUUGCCAGGUGCAGUCACACCACCCCAGGCCUGUGCUGAUCUAUAAUUCAGGUGCUUGCUCACUUUCUGUAAUAGCUUUUCUAUUUUUAAUGGGAAGUGAUGGACCUGUCAAGGUAUUAGAAAUAUUUUUUUUCCCAGGUUUUCAUUUUCUUUGGUAAUAAUAAUGUGGGCUGGGAAGCUCCCGGUGCACUUUAGAGCUAAAGUGCUUGGCAAUCAUGGGAGUUUCCACACGACCUUAUUUCUUCAUACUUUGUGUUUGUGUCUGACUAGCAGAUAAAUGAGGACACAGACUAAGUUCAGUGCCUAGCAGUGUAUGAGGGGGGAUUGCAGAGAGGGCCAUCAGGUCACUGACAGACCCCUGAAAACCUGGAGAAAGCUCAGCACAGAGGGGAGGCUGCUGGGCUGAACAGUUUCAGGUUAUCACUAUAAAUAUAGUGAGAUAAAUAUUAUAUCUCAGGGCUUUAGGGUGGGGUCUUUUCAGUCCUCCUCCCUUUUCCGUGGCGCUGAGUGGUCUGUCAGUGCAAGGAGCCUUUGCAGACUGGCUCUCACACCUGGGAGCUGGUUUGUGUUGAGCUGGAGUACCAGGUCUCUGUCCUGGCUGCCCUGGGAGCAGGCUGCUAACUCUGAGGAGAUCUGCCCAGCUUAGAAAUGAAUUCUCUACAGAAUGCUGGGGGUUUUUAAACAAGGUCUAACUAAAUAUCUGUAAACUAUAAAUAGACAAAGCACUGAACUAAAUAUGCCAGAGUUUGUCUUAGCUGUCAGACUAAUUCAGAUUAUUACUCUGAAACUUUUUUUCCCCCUCCUGUAUGCUAAAAUUAUUCUGAAGUUGCUCUCACAUGCUAAUGAGACUAUGCUAAUCAUAGUCUUUAUUACUGAGAUGUAAUACUUUAAUUUAUUUUUCUUGUUGUUUCUCAGUAUGCUCACCUGGACAAUACAUCAGCCAAACACAGCAUUGGCUUGGCCAAACCACCUGGGAUUUGAAGGUUUUUUUUCUUUGUUCCUCUCCAGUCAGAAGUGGAGGUGUGCUCAGGCAAGUGCUGCACGAGGCAAGGGAAGCCCUGAGAUGCACUUUGUGCUCACAGUCAGUAUUAGCAGUUGCAAGUGAGGGCUGACUUUCUGUUGGUAUUUUGUUUGUUUGUUUUGGAAGCUCUUACACGCUUGUUUGGAUUCCUUACUGCGAUGCAAACUGGGAGUUUCACCAGUAAUCUUAGGAGUUAUUUGAGAGGCAGGCUCAGGAGCUCUGUUUUUCCUGGCUAUAAACCCAAACAUUUGUGGGACCACUUGAAAAAGCUGCAGCCCAAAUUACCAGCUUUUAAUGCAACUAGAGCAAGGUGAAGAGACUUUAUCUGAUUGCCUCUGGCAUUUUCUCCAAAGCCACUUGUUUCUCAGUAGCAGAAAUAUCUUGCCCAAUUGGGAUGCAAUAAUUUCAAAGCAAGUAAAGGAAACUGCAGCUGCUCAGCUGAGUCAGCCAAAGGUGCUGGAGCCUUCUCGUGGUUUCUACAAGCUCAGGACAGAGGAUGACACUUGUCAGUCUGUCCCACUGUGGGCCCCACUCUGUAUUGUGCACAUCCUUCUGGUUUUCCCUGUGACAUGGUGGCUCCCCAAGGAGCAAUGUACCUACAUUUUGGAACAGUCACAAGGAAGAAGUGUUUCUUUUCAGAGCCUGGAGCAGCCAGAACAAGGGUUUAGAAGCUCCCGUGUGCCCGUGGAAGCCAAGGACUGUGUUCUUCAGUGUCUCAUGCUCUGAUGCACCUCCAGGCUGGCAACAACCUCCUCCUCCUUGUUCUUCCAAAGAGCAGUUCAGCUUUUUGUGGGAGGAUUGUGGAUUGCUCCCCAGUCCUACAGCUGGCAGUAAUGGGAUGAACAUUACUGUGAAGAUUUUGUCGCCUUUGGGUCCCCAUGGUGAGUUUGCCCCAGUGCCAGAGGCUUUUACUACCACAGUGUAGUACAUGUAUCAAACACAGAUCUGCUUGGUCUCAAACCCAGGGAGUGCCAGUGGACAAAUCCCUGGCUGUCGCUGGCAGCCCUAGAAAAAGGAAAUCCUGAGCACCUGGGAGAAUGGCAAUCCCUUCCUGCCCUCCUUCUAGGACAGGACUCGGGUACGAGGUGAGGCAGUGGCGUGUCCUGUGUUUGCUCUGCAGCUCCUACAGGCACAGUCCUGCUGCCACUGGAGCUGUCACUCUGCCUUUUCCACAAGGAAACGCCUCUCUAAAAUGCCACACAAGUGACAGGAUAAGAGUCACAGUCAGACAUAGGAAAUUUCAUGGCAGUUCACUAAAUUCAGCUAACGAAGGUCAUGUUUCUUUACCAAGUCAUCUUACUGGCUCACUUGAAAAACAAGCAUUUUGCAACAGAAAAAUAACUAUUUACUGUAAAAAAGCCUCUUUAAAGGAAGCUCACCUGGAUAAGAAAAGUGACAAAAUUAUGCAUUUUAAAAAUCUGAAUAUAUUUUAAACAAACCUUGGAACUAGGUUACACAACAUUCCAGGAUGAUUUAUUUUGAUUUUCCACUGCUUGAUUCACCUUUUUUCAGAGAGGCCUGGGGCAAACCAAAGCAAUUUACAUCGAAUGCCACACACUGUCCCACUGUCCAUCUACCAGAUCUUGCCCUGACUGCCCAGGGAUAGCUGGUGGCACCAAGGAAAAGGCAGCUGCAGCCUGGGACUGGCUGCCUGCACGUUCUGCUGUGGGCUUUGGUGAGGGUGUCUGAAAAAUAACUGAUUUCAAUUUUAUUUUGUUUGUACUGCAUCUUUCCUCAAGUCUCUGUGCUGUGACAAGGCAGGGAAGGCAUGCAGCCAUCAAGCCUUCUCAGGGACAUUCAGGACACAGGGAAAGGCACACACAUCUGUAAAAACUUUAUUUCAAAAUCUUUUUAUUCAACUGUUAUUCAGCAAUAUACAAUACAGUUUAUAAACAAAUGUCUUACCUUGUUUCCAAUCUUCAUUUAAAAAUAAAUAUUAUUGACAGUGAAUAUUAA